GCUCUACUAGUUUCAAUGUUACUGCAUGCACUGGCAUGAAAGCUUUAGCCUGGCCUCACAUCUGUAUGUGCUUUUAUCAACUCUGACAGGCUGAGGAGUAAUCUGGGGAGAAGGUACAUCUAGUUGAGGAGUAGUCUGGGGUGAAGGUAACUCUGGCUGAGGAGUAGUCUGGGGAGAAGGUAACUCUUGCUGGGGAGUAGUCUGGGGUGAAGGUAACUCUGGCUGAGGAGUAGUCUGGGGUGAAAGUAACUCUGGCUGGGGAGUAGUCUGGGGUGAAGGUAACUGGCUGGGGAGUAGUCUGGGGUGAAGGUAACUGGCUGGGGAGUAGUCUGGGGAGAAGGUAACUCUGGCUGGGGAGUAAUCUGGGGUGAAGGUAACUUUGGCUGAGUAGUCUGGGGAGAAAGUAACUCUGGCUGGGGAGUAGUCUGGGGAGAAGGUAACUCUGGCUGGGGAGUAAUCUGGGGAGUAGUCUGGGGAGAAGGUAACUCUGGCUGGGGAGUAGUCUGGGGAGAAGGUAACUCUGGCUGGAGAGUAGUCUGGGGAGAAGGCGGAAGCAUAUACAGACCAGGCUAUGACAUCUUGGGGAUCGGUCACAAACUAGGAAACUAUUUUCUUCUAAUCAGGGCCUAACUAUUAUGGAUAUUAGUCCUUCUAUACUGGGGAUGUGAAGGGUGGAGGGUACUACUGCACUACUCUGAAGAUCUGUAUUUCAGUUUGGCCUAUAUACAGUGGGGCAAAAAAGUAUUUAGUCAGCCACUAAUUGUGCAAGUUCUCCCACCUAAAAAGAUGAG
ensembl:lncRNA